rnacentral:rRNA from 1 species
UACGAAGGUCCCAAGCGUUAUCCGGAUUUAUUGGGUUUAAAGGGUGCGUAGGCGGAUUAUUAAGUCAGUGGUGAAAGCUCCAUGCCUAACAUGGAAAAUGCCAUUGAUACUGAUGAUCUUGAGUACAUUUGAAGUGGGCGGAAUGUGUCAUGUAGCGGUGAAAAUGCUUAGAUAUGACACAGAACACCGAUUGCGUAGGCAGCUCACUAAACUGUAACUGACGCUGAGGCACGAAAGCGCGGGGAGCAAACAGG